UCCGAGAUCGUCUAAUUGGCAGGACGCAACACUUUGAAUGUUGAUAUUCUAGGUUCGAAUCCUAGUCUCGGAA
rnacentral:tRNA from 1 species